GACGAACGCUGGCGGCGUGCCUAAUACAUGCAAGUAGAACGCACAGUUUAUACCGUAGCUUGCUACACCAUAGACUGUGAGUUGCGAACGGGUGAGUAACGCGUAGGUAACCUGCCUGGUAGCGGGGGAUAACUAUUGGAAACGAUAGCUAAUACCGCAUAAUAUUGAUUAUUGCAUGAUAAUUGAUUGAAAGAUGCUACUGCAUCACUACCAGAUGGACCUGCGUUGUAUUAGCUAGUAGGUGAGGUAACGGCUCACCUAGGCGACGAUACAUAGCCGACCUGAGAGGGUGAUCGGCCACACUGGGACUGAGACACGGCCCAGACUCCUACGGGAGGCAGCAGUAGGGAAUCUUCGGCAAUGGACGAAAGUCUGACCGAGCAACGCCGCGUGAGUGAAGAAGGUUUUCGGAUCGUAAAGCUCUGUUGUAAGAGAAGAACGGGUGUGAGAGUGGAAAGUUCACACUGUGACGGUAUCUUACCAGAAAGGGACGGCUAACUACAUG
rnacentral:rRNA from 1 species